rnacentral:rRNA from 1 species
GACGAACGCUGGCGGCGUGCCUAAUACAUGCAAGUAGAACGCUGAAGAGAGGAGCUUGCUCUUCUUGGAUGAGUUGCGAACGGGUGAGUAACGCGUAGGUAACCUGCCUUGUAGCGGGGGAUAACUAUUGGAAACGAUAGCUAAUACCGCAUAACAAUGGAUGACACAUGUCAUUUAUUUGAAAGGGGCAAUUGCUCCACUACAAGAUGGACCUGCGUUGUAUUAGCUAGUAGGUGAGGUAAUGGCUCACCUAGGCGACGAUACAUAGCCGACCUGAGAGGGUGAUCGGCCACACUGGGACUGAGACACGGCCCAGACUCCUACGGGAGGCAGCAGUAGGGAAGCUUCGGCAAUGGGGGCAACCCUGACCGAGCAACGCCGCGUGAGUGAAGAAGGUUUUCGGAUCGUAAAGUUCUGUUGUAAGUCAAGAACGGGUGUGAGAGUGGAAAGUUCACACUGUGACGGUAGCUGACCAGAAAGGGACGGCUAACUACGUG